UAGUAGGUAGGGCCAGGGUGUUAGCCGUACCCUGUACUCGAAACCGGCUUCAUGCGAGGACCAGUAACCAGCGGGUAAAUCUGUAGGUGGUAUGCACCUAAUGAUCUUGCUGAUAUGAAUCCACGCCGUGACGGGUGGUUACAGGUAACAACCCAUCUGAAGGGAUGGUAUUGAUUAUCGAACUACUGAAAGGGGUGAGGUCCGGGAGGGAGCAACCCUAAGGUGGAGUAACCACGCUGUCACGUCUACGUGGUGGAUCUUGCGAGGUCAGAGAUUGGACAUGUUGUCUACUGUAGAACCGGUGGAACUACUA
rnacentral:SRP_RNA from 1 species